CGUAGGGUGCGAGCGUUAAUCGGAAUUACUGGGCGUAAAGCGUGCGCAGGCGGUUUUGUAAGACAGGCGUGAAAUCCCCGGGCUCAACCUGGGAACUGCGCUUGUGACUGCAAGGCUAGAGUACGGCAGAGGGGGUGGAAUUCCACGUGUAGCAGUGAAAUGCGUAGAGAUGUGGAGGAACACCAAUGGCGAAGGCAGCCCCCUGGGUCGAUACUGACGCUCAUGCACGAAAGCGUGGGUAGCAAACAGGAUUAGAUACCCUGGUAGUCCACGCCCUAAACGAUGUCAACUAGGUGUUGGGUGGGUAAAACCAUUUAGUACCGGAGCUAACGCGUGAAGUUGACCGCCGUGGGGAGUACGGCCGCAAGGUUA
rnacentral:rRNA from 1 species